CCAGACAGCCAGGAUGUUGGCUUAGAAGCAGCCAUCAUUUAAAGAAAGCGUAAUAGCUCACUGGUCGAGUCGGCCUGCGCGGAAGAUGUAACGGGGCUAAACCAUGCACCGAAGCUGCGGCAGCGACGCUAUGCGUUGUUGGGUAGGGGAGCGUUCUGUAAGCCUGCGAAGGUGGCCUGUGAGGGUUGCUGGAGGUAUCAGAAGUGCGAAUGCUGACAUAAGUAACGAUAAAGCGGGUGAAAAGCCCGCUCGCCGGAAGACCAAGGGUUCCUGUCCAACGUUAAUCGGGGCAGGGUGAGUCGACCCCUAAGGCGAGGCCGAAAGGCGUAGUCGAUGGGAAACGGGUUAAUAUUCCCGUACUUGGUGUUACUGCGAAGGGGGGACGGAGAAGGCUAUGUUGGCCGGGCGACGGUUGUCCCGGUUUAAGCGUGUAGGUGUGUGUUCCAGGUAAAUCCGGUUCACUUUAACACUGAGGCGUGACGACGAGGCACUACGGUGCUGAAGCAACAAAUGCCCUGCUUCCAGGAAAAGCCUCUAAGCAUCAGGUAACAUCAAAUCGUACCCCAAACCGACACAGGUGGUCAGGUAGAGAAUACCAAGGCGCUUGA
rnacentral:rRNA from 1 species